rnacentral:lncRNA from 1 species
GUCCCCAGGUUCAGAACAAAGGCUGGGAAACGCACAGUAUUAAAUAGAGCCAUGACUACAUGAAACUCUCUGCCACCCCAGCAGGAAAGCAGCAGGCUGUACAGGCAACUUUUCUGCCAGCUCUUGAUUAUGGUGACACCACUUAUCAGAAUGCAGCAGCCACUACUCUAAAACUCCUGGAGGCAGUGUACCGUAGCGUGCUUCGCUUUAUCACAGGUAACCAUUGAGAAUGAGACCCUGGUCUCAAUUGGGCUCCCCUGAAUAAAGAAAAGUGUAUUACUCCUACUGGUGGCACAAUGUUGUCCUAACGGGCUUUUCAAGGUCAGGAGUUCCAAAUGUAAAGAAUAGGAACGAAUGUGGGUGAGCCUCUGUAGAUGUGUUUCAAAAACCGACAAAUCCUUCAGUUGUGUUCAGCCUCCACACUCUUAUUCCCCAGAGAACGUCCUUGUGAGCGUCAUAGAACUAUUCCCUAUUGUUAUCGAUCAGUAUAUAUAAUCUGCAUUACUCUGUUGAGCACCUUAGUGAUUCACCUGCUCAGUAGUGGUUUAACAAUACAGUGAACAGAGUGCAUGUGUCACGUCCUGACCAUAGAAAUAUGUUAUUUUCUAUGGUAGAGUAGGUUAGGGCGUG